rnacentral:rRNA from 1 species
UGGGGAAUAUUGGGGGCAAUGGGGGAGUAAGAGGACGGUACCUUUCGAGGAAGCCACGGCUAACUACGUGCCAGCAGCCGCGGUAAUACGUAGGUGGCGAGCGUUGUCCGGAAUUAUUGGGCGUAAAGGGAGCGCAGGUGGGACUUCAAGUCAGUCUUAAAAGUGCGGGGCUCAACCCCGUGAUGGGAUUGAAACUGUAGUUCUUGAGUGCAGGAGAGGAAAGCGGAAUUCCUAGUGUAGCGGUGAAAUGCGUAGAUAUUAGGAGGAACACCAGUGGCGAAGGCGGCUUUCUGGACUGUAACUGACACUGAGGCUCGAAAGCGUGGGGAGCGAACAGGAUUAGAUACCCUGGUAGU